GUCUACGGCCAUGCCACCCUGAACGUGCCUGAUUUCGUUGGAUUUCGGAAGCUAAGCAGGGUCAGGCCCGGUUAGUACUUGGAUGGGAGACUACCUAGGAAUACUAAGUGCUGUAGGCG
rnacentral:rRNA from 1 species